AUUCCUACAAUUUAAAUCCAACUUAUUCUCAGUUUCUCCAUUACCUUGCUCAAUCACCCAAAACACUACCCACCAAUUCAAAACAGCAACAAUCAAUUCACCCAACCAUGUUUCAUUUCAAGAUGUUUCACUACUUUAUUAUUACUAUACAUCUACUCUUUUAAAUCCAAACAAGUUUUUUAUAUUCCACUUCAUAAUGUAUCUCCACUCAUGUCAUAAACAAUGCAAAAGGGACUUGAAACAAACACCGCACACACACAGAAGUUAAGUGAAUAGUUCAUGCAAAUUUCAUGCUAAGUGUGCAAGCAGUGUUUCCUCUCAAGGCUCAGAAGCUGUUGCUGCUGUUGUUGCUGCUGCAGGUCCAGCGAGAUCAUCAUCAGCCUCAGUCAGGCUCCGUGAAGCUUCAAAGCUCCGUGGGAUUUCUCUGCUGCUGGUGUUGCUGGUGAUGCUGCAAACGGGAACGGAGAAGAACGUGGGCAGGGGGAUGCAGCAUCCGGAGCCUGUCCUGCAGGCUGCACGGGGGACGUGCUCAGAGCCUGCGCUGUGUACUUUGGCGCCUACAGGCCGCGCAUUGAGAUGCACGAGGAUGGGUCAUGCGUUUCGUUGCGAGAUUGCUCUUUCACUGUGAUCAUGGUGGUGGUAUCGUGACCUUCAUACUUGUUUCGUUCCCUGCCAGUGUCCCGUACGCUCGCGCACCCUCUGAAAUCCCCGUAGGCAGUGCGUGAGCCCGUGAGGAGGAGCUUCGAUGGGCCGAAUGUGCUUUUGGACAAGGACUUGGGACUGUGGGACUAUUAUGGUUGCAGUCCUUGAAGACAAAGACCAUUGUGGAAAUGUGGACAUAUUCCAAGUUUCUUCUUCUUAUUAUUAUUAUUAUUAUUAUUAUAUAUAUAUAUAUAUAUAUAUAUAGAAUGAUGUUGAGUUUUGUUUUCCACGUCAGGUGGUGAUACCCUCAGGUUUCGCAACGAAGAGCCUUGUUAGUGCCACAACCAGCAGUGGCUGCUGUGUACGUUGACGCAGAUUUUUCAGUAGCACUGUCCGGACUCCGUUUCCAUUCUUUAUUGAUUGACCCAUUGGAAUAGCACGUUUUUUAAAAGUCGGAGAUGAUUCGGUGAGGACAAGCCGUGAAGUUCCUUGUGCAGGGUGUGUGACAAAAGCCUCCAACCAAUGUUAAAGCUACUUUGAGAUUAUUCUCCCCAGUGAGAUCGAGCGUCGUCGCCAUUCUUUACAUUAUACCCUGGCUCCAUGCCUUUACCAAUGACUGCAUGUGUGUAUAUUAUUAGAGCGUCCGAUUGUAGUUGCUUUCAGCUCUUAUCACUCCACGAGCAGUAUAUAGAUUUUGACACAAUCUUUGCCUUCGUUGCAAUAGUCUCCAUAUUGGAACCCCGCCCCCCCACAAAUCGAUACACUGUUUCACAUUAGAUCACAGGGGUAAGUACGGCCUGCUGCCCGAACUGAAGCUUAAGACCUUAUCAAUAGGUCUGCGUCUCAUUUCAAUGUGCGGCAGCUGCGAAUGCUAAUUAAAGGGAAAGCCUACGAUAGAAUUCACAAAAGAUUUGAUAGACAGUGGCUCUGGUCCUUAUGCCUAUAGCUACUUCAUGUUCAUGACAUAGAGUUAUGUAUGAAGUUGCUUAAAGAUUCAACCUCUUCUCAAAAUCCGUUCCUCAUCCCCAAGAGAAGCACAGCUAAAACAUUGGUCUACAAGCAACCAUGGUUGACUGAGGUCAAGGUCUGACAAACUUCAAAGCUUUUGGCAACAAAUUCUCAGGUCACGAAGAUUCCUUCUUACUCAUCUGCUCGUAGGGUCAAAUCUACUGUUCAUAACCUCAUGGAAUUAUCUGCCAACGCACACAUGGAAGCCUACAAACUGGAUCUCUCCCAAAUUGACUCCCGGGAACUGAUACUCACUCAGGUUUGAAAGUUCUUCGUAGCCCCACGUUUUUGGGGCACAAUCAAGAGCACCCCCCUCUGGACACAACGCCAGGGCCACAACCACUGAACCACCGCCUGCAUGUUGUCGCAUUUGGACACUGAGCAGUCCUUUCAUCCAGCAGCUGAGAAACUAGCAUUCAAUCAAAAAAAAAACAACGCAGUUCAUCACCACCCAAAUUGCUGCAUGAAGUCCUGAAUUCAAUUCUGGGUCUGCACGUCCACCGAAGGUCUCAGCCACUAUCGUUGACGCACCCGUCCGACAGGACCUAAGGGAAUUAGGGUUACGCAUUGGAUUCACAUUUUUCUGCCAGGGCGUCACCGACGUCUGAAACUCCUCCUCCUCCCUCUUCCGUCCCACCCGUCCGCCACCCGUCCGCCCGUCCUCCCCAAGUCCUAUGAACACACCCGUCCGCCACCCGUCCGCCCGUCCUCCCCAAGUCCUAUGAACACAGAGAGCUGCCGCAUUAAACUCUAAUGGAUGUUACAGAUCGUUUCAGCCCUUGUGCGAAUCUUACGUUGGCAAAGUGUCUCAAUUGCAAAUACCAAUCACGUGGUGCACACCGGGCGCCCAGUACUGUACACGUCCGUUAUGAGUGGUACCGCACCUAGCGAGAAUCAAUUGAGGAUCCAGAAAACGUAGUACACACAAUCCCUGAGGAACCCACUGAAAAAGGCCCGCAUUGACACCCUUCGGCAUCGGCUAGUGUAGACACUCUCUCACUCUCUUGCAGCAAGCUUCGCUUUCACGCUAAGGAUCAGGAUGAAUCGGCUUUCUUGGGGGCACAUGCCAUCGCCAUGGCUAACCUCUCACCUACUCCCUCCCUCCAGAUGACAGACAGACACACAGACACACAGACGCCGAAUCGUGAAGCAGGGGCCAGGGGUGAGUGGCAGAUUGCCCAGCAGCAGCAUCACUCACUGCAACGACGACGACGAAGAAUGUUGGCUCCCAUGACGACCACCACCAAUGGUGGUGGAGACGACAGACGAAGAACCUCAUUUCUUCGUCUUGCGUGCGACACUGGAUGUUGCUGAUUUUGUUUACGAACUUCGUUGCAUUAUUUUCAUUGUGACUAUGUUUAUGUUUACUUUCGUUUAUUCAUGUGUUUUUAUGUGUAGGGAGAGAGGGAUUGAACAUAUGUUUUCAUAUAUCAUGGUGUCUUUAUGAGUUGUUAAACUAUUGCUUAAUUAACAUA